UGGGGAAUAUUGGACAAUGGGCGCAAGCCUGAUCCAGCAAUGCCGCGUGUGUGAAGAAGGCCUUCGGGUUGUAAAGCACUUUUAUCAGGAGCGAAACGCUGUCGGCUAAUACCCGGCGGAACUGACGGUACCUGAGGAAUAAGCACCGGCUAACUUCGUGCCAGCAGCCGCGGUAAUACGAAGGGUGCAAGCGUCAAUCGGAAUUACUGGGCGUAAAGCGUGCGUAGGCGGUUUCUUAAGUCUGCUGUGAAAUCCCCGGGCUCAACCUGGGAAUGGCAGUGGAUACUGGGAGGCUAGAGUGUGUCAGAGGGUGGUGGAAUUCCCGGUGUAGCGGUGAAAUGCGUAGAGAUCGGGAGGAACAUCAGUGGCGAAGGCGGCCACCUGGGACAACACUGACGCUGAGGCACGAAAGCGUGGGGAGCAAACAGGAUUAGAUACCCUGGUAGUCCACGCCCUAAAGCGAUGCGAACUGGAUGUUGGUCUCAACUCGGAGAUCAGUGUCGAAGCUAACGCGUUAAGUUCGCCGCCUGGGGAGUACGGUCGCAAGACUGAAACUUAAAUGAAUUGACGGGGUUAUAGCUGUUUCCUG
rnacentral:rRNA from 1 species